rnacentral:rRNA from 1 species
CCUACGGGGGGCAGCAGUAGGGAAUCUUUCACAAUGGGCGAAAGCCUGAUGGAGCAACGCCGCGUGCAGGAUGAAGGCCUUCGGGUUGUAAACUGCUUUUAUAAGCGAGAAAUAUGAUGGUAACUUAUGAAUAAGGAUCGGCUAACUACGUGCCAGCAGCCGCGGUCAUACGUAGGAUCCGAGCAUUAUCCGGAGUGACUGGGUGUAAAGAGUUGCGUAGGUGGCAUAAUAAGUAGCUAGUGAAAUCUGGUGGCUCAACCAUUCAGACUAUUAGCUAAACUGUUAAGCUCGAGACCGUUAGGGGUAACUGGAAUGUGUAGUGUAGGAGUGAAAUCCGUAGAUAUUAGAAGGAACACCAAUAGCGUAGGCAGGUUGCUGGGACGGUUCUGACGCUAAGGCACGAAAGCGUAGGGAGCAAACGGGAUUAGAUACCCGAGUAGUC